ensembl:lncRNA
GGCCAUGAAGGAGAGAACCUCCUGGGGCUGUGAGUUAAGUUUAAGGACUACUUCAUGAUAGGAGCACCUCCAGGAGCCAAAAGUACCUCCACCAGAACGGGAUGGAUGAAUGAAGACACCUGGCCUGAGUUCCUUGAUCACCUGAUACAGCACACUAACUGCACCCCUGACCGUCCCAUGCUGCUUAUCCUGGAUAAUCUUAAGGCUCACAUCUCACUCAAAGCAGUAGAAAUAGCCAAGAGCAACGGUAUUUUUCUGCUCACUCUCCCUCCCCACACAUCCCAUCGCAUGCAGCCUCUCGACGUGACCCUGUAUGGCCCGUUCAAGACCCAAUACAGCCAAGCUCUUGAUGGGCGGAUGAGAUCUAACCCUGGAAAAACAGUCUCCAUCUACCAGAUUGCACGACCUGUGAAUGAGGCCUUCAUGUCAGCAGUGACACCACGCAACAUCACUUCUGGAUUUAGGUCCAAUGGGAUUUUCCCAUAUAACCGAGACAUUUUCCCUGAUGGAGCGUUUGCACCAUCCAUGGUGUCAGACCGGCCAAACCCUGAGCUGCAGCCUGCCACUGCAGAUGAUCCGGAUGGUCCACCCACUGCAGCUGGUCCACCCACUGCAGAUGGUCCACAUGGCUGUGCCCCGCCAGCUGACAGAUGUGCCACGUGUUCCCAACCGACCUGGUUGUUCCUGGCUGUCUUGGAGUUUCUGUCCCCAGUAUGCUCUGUGUGCUGAAAACUUGUGGAGACUAGUUGACAUCACGGCUGAUGGGGAGUGAGCUAUAGGAAAAACGUGCAAAAACCGUUAUUGUCUAAAGUAGAUGAAGACGACAAAUGUGCAUAAUUAUUCAAUCCCAUACCUAAGACUACCCUUCCAUGGCUGUCAAACUGCAAUGAAACAUCUGGAGGAACAAUCUUGCUCUGCUCCGCACACUGGCCGUUAAUAAGACCAGCAAGUUCAGGCACAAGCUCCAGCUUUCUUAGAACCUCACACUGGUCUUUGCUAUUCCCCCGGUGGAACACAUCGUUCGAAGCAAAAUACUGUGAGGAUCCAGUGAGAGGGUGACCAUCUUUGUCAGCUGGCUUUUUUUUUUAAAUUUCAUCCAAGGCAAGUUGACAUGGACCUUUCCC